rnacentral:lncRNA from 1 species
UCUGCUCUGUGGGGCUCUGUUUGUUUUCCUGGUGCUAAUUAGAGCCUCUAAAUGCAGCCUGGGCUCCUCCUACCCACUGGCUUGUUUGUCUUCAAAUGAGACACGUGUGGUGCUCGUCUCUGGGGUCACAGAGCUCUGCAGACCAGCAGAGCACUGAGCUUUGACUGUUGGGAGGCACGAGGCUCCCCUGGCUGCUGUGAGCACAAGGGAUGGUGCCAGCCCUUGGCACACACAGUGUGGAGUUGGCAGGAGAUGGAUCCUUCCCCGCCUCAGGGGCUGGAGAUGGGAGCUGUCUCCUCUCCCUGCUGUCUCCCGUCCAGAUAACUUGCCCGGGAGCUGCUGGCAGGGACACUGGAGGGGCUGGAGGAGGAGCUGCUGGCCUUCUUCUCUGUCACCCCGCACUCCGUCUACACAGCACUGAUGGAUAACAGCUUUGAGCGGCUCCUGCUCCACGCACUCUGCCAGUACAUGGAUCUCGUCUCUGCCAGUAAGAGCCGCGUGUCUGCUUGGUUGAUUUUGAUUUUGUUUUUGUUUUUCCCCCUUCCCUCCAUCACUAUCUCUCCUCUCCAGCUCAGCCUUUUCCUCCCUUCCUCCUGCCGGCCCCACCUCACCCUGGGGCUCACAGAUAACCCCGCGGUCCCACCCCUGCCUGCUCCCUCCCCACCAGUGCCUGGAGCACCCUGGGCAGCCCCGGCCGUGGUCACCAGCGCUGCCUGCAGCCACACACCCGGGGGUCGGCGGGACCCACUCUGACGGGAAAUUCGGGUGGUGCAAAGCAGGAAUCUGCUCGCGGGGUUCUCUCUCCUGCAGCUGCUUCCUCCUCCCAAGGAGCAGCCGCGCUCUCGUACUGCUCUGGGCGUCCCCAAAGGUUUUGUUGCCAAGGCAGGGAAGCAUCCAUCCCUCCAGAGGAGGCUCCGCUGCCGAGUGUUUCAUUAGGAGCCGCUUGUGGCCAUCAGCCUGAGCGCUAAUGAUGGGGAGCGAGCCCGUGGUGCCGGCAGGGGACGGAGGGGACAGAAAACAGCGGACAGAAAACUCGCCACGAGCCCCAGGGAGGAGGGAAGGGCUGUGGCUGGGCUGGGAGCGCCUGUUGGAGACCCCCGAGGUGGGGAGCAGGGGUGUGCUGAUGGUUCCAUCCCACCCGCAGGUUCGGACAUCGAAGGGAAGCGUCAGAUGAAAGUGAGCAACAAACACCGCGUGUUCCUGCCCCCGGAGCUGCUGCUCUCAGACUACCUGGGGCAGAUGAGCUGAUGCCCCCGCAGCUGCCCUGCCCCUCCUGUGUCCUCUGCAGCCUCUCCCGGACCCUCGGCCCCUCCAGCAGCCGCUGCCCGGCGGGGCAGAGCCGGGGGUUUGUGGCUGUGCUCGCACCGGGGCGGGCAGCACGGCCCCGGGGUGCAGGGCAGGUGCCCCUCGCCCGCCCCGCUCCCCGCGCAUCCCUCCUGGAACUGUUGGUGUGUCUAUUUAUAACCCAGGUGUUUUUAACAAAAUAAUCAGGCAGGGCCAGCCUCCCUCUGGCGCUGACGCUCGUGGGGUGAUUUCGGUCCAGAUUUUUCUGCGGUGAAACAGCUCCCGGCGGCUGCUGAGCAAUCGCUGAGCCGGCGGAAGAGCCCCGGGGCUGCCGCGUUCCCGCAGCCCCGAACCCACCGGGUGUCCGGGGGGCUCGGCCCCCUCGGCCAGGGCGGGGUGUGGGGAGCUCCGGAUGCUUUUACCCCACGCCCUGUGCCCUGCCCGCACCACGGGGCUGUUUUUAAGUGUAAUAUAGCUUGUGUGUUUUUUAUCACGUGUGUGUAUAUUUACAUGUGUGUAUGUGUGUGUGUGUGUGCGUGCUGGAGGGGUGCAGCCCCUUUCGGGGCUCUCUCUGCUUUUCCACAGCUGCCAUGGGGGCAGAUGGGGCAUUUUGGGGGUUGCUCUGUGUGCCCCCCAGCUUCGUGGCAUGUGCCAAGGUUUGCUCGCAGGGCGUGCCCUGAGGAUCUUUGCUGGCUGGUCUGCCCCACCAUGACACCGACUGCCAUUAACCGUGGGCACCCCCAGAGCCAGGGGAGCCCCUCGUGGGCACCCCCAGAGCCAGGGGAGCUCCUCCUUGGCUGGUGUGGCGUUCAGAAACAAUAAAAACGGUGCUCCCUUACUCCGGCUCUGUGUC